GACAGAGGUGCCGAGCGUUAGGCGGAAUCACUGGGCUUAAAGCGUGUGUAGGCGGGUCGUUAAGUACCUUGUGAAAUCCCCCGGCUCAACCGGGGAAUGGCUGGGUAUACUGGCGAUCUUGAGCGAUCCAGGGGCAGAUGGAGCAAGUGGUGGAGCGGUGAAAUGCGUAGAUAUCACUUGGAACGCCAAAGGUGAAGACAGUCUGCUGGGGAUCUGCUGACGCUGAGACACGAAAGCCAGGGGAGCGAACGGG
rnacentral:rRNA from 1 species